AUGGGAGAGGACGUGUCUGGCAAUGGCAGCCUUGGUGGAGCACACUUUCCCACAGUGGUCACAAGUGUAGGUCCUGCCGCCAGUGUGUUCAGUGGGGCCACUCUUGCCUCUCAGCCUUGUCUUGCCGGCAUGGGAGAGGACGUGUCUGGCAAUGGCAGCCUUGGUGGAGCACACUUUCCCGCAGUGGUCACAAGUGUAGGUCCUCACGCCUGGGGUUGCCCUCUGCUCCUGGCU